rnacentral:rRNA from 1 species
CGACAAGCGGUGGAGCAUGUGGUUAAUUCGAAGCAACGCGAAGAACCUACCAGGCCUUGACAUGCAGAGAACUUUACCAGAGAUGGAUUGGUGCCUUCGGGAACUCUGACACAGGUGCUGCAUGGCUGUCGUCAGCUCGUGCGUGAGAUGUUGGGUUAAGUCCGUAACGAGCGCAACCCUUGUCCUUAGUUACCAGCACGUUAUGGUGGGCACUCUAAGGAGACUGCCGGUGACAAACCGGAGGAAGGUGGGGAUGACGUCAAGUCAUCAUGGCCCUUACGGCCUGGGCUACACACGUGCUACAAUGGUCGGUACAAAGGGUUGCCAAGCCGCGAGGUGGAGCUAAUCCCAUAAAACCGAUCGUAGUCCGGAUCGCAGUCUGCAACUCGACUGCGUGAAGUCGGAAUCGCUAGUAAUCGUGAAUCAGAAUGUCACGGUGAAUACGUUCCCGGGCCUU